GAGGGUGUAGCUCAGUGGUAGAGCAUUUGCCUAACAUGCAUGAAAAGCCUGGGUUCCAUCUUCA
rnacentral:tRNA from 1 species